GGAGAUCAGAGUCCCACUGUUCAGCGAGGCGUCCCAAGAAUUCGCAGCCACCCUCUUCAUCCAGGAAAUUUCAUCUGGCCAGUCAGAUGAUGCUGGAUAGUGACAAUACAGUCAGCCCACUGAGUUCCCGGCUUCCACAUUCUCAUGCUCAGCCAAGCAGCUUUUAAGAGAAUUGCCUCGAUACCGAACACACACAGACCACUUUCUUAUCCUCACUCUGCAAAGAGCUCGGCGCCAACACCCCUUACCUGGCAUGCAAGUGCCCCUUACCUGGCAUGCACCCUGGCAGUUUGGGUUACACAGAUCAACAGAUGCCAAGUAGCCAUCAGAAACCCAAUCACGGAUAAAACAUUUAUU